rnacentral:rRNA from 1 species
UUUAUUGAGAGUUUGAUCCUGGCUCAGGACGAACGCUGGCGGCGUGCUUAACACAUGCAAGUCGAACGGGGUGCCUAUGAAAGAGAUUUCGGUCAAUGGAUUAGGUUACUUAGUGGCGGACGGGUGAGUAACGCGUGAGGAACCUGCCUUUCAGAGGGGGACAACAGCUGGAAACGGCUGCUAAUACCGCAUGACACAUAUUUAUCGCAUGUUAGAUAUGUCAAAGAUUUAUCGCUGAGAGAUGGCCUCGCGUCUGCUUAGCUAGUUGGUAGUGUAUCGGCCUACCAAGGCGACGAUCAGUAGCCGGACUGAGAGG